AGAGUUUGAUCCUGGCUCAGGAUGAACGCUGGCGGCGUGCCUAAUACAUGCAAGUCGAACGAAGUGCUUCGGCACUUAGUGGCGAACGGGUGAGUAAUACGUAAACAAUCUGCCCUUAAGCCUGGGAUAACGUCGGGAAACUGACGCUAAUACCGGAUAGGCAUAUUUGAGGCAUCUCGAAUAUGUUAAAGAUGGGACACAUCACUGAAGGAUGAGUUUAUGGUGCAUCAGUUAGUUGGCGGGGUAACGGCCCACCAAGACGAUGAUGCAUAGCCGAUCUGAGAGGAUGACCGGCCACAUUGGGACUGAGACACGGCCCAGACUCCUACGGGAGGCAGCAGUAGGGAAUUUUCGGCAAUGGGGGAAACCCUGACCGAGCAACGCCGCGUGAACGAUGAAGGCCUUUGGGUCGCAGAGUUCUGUUGUAAGGGAAGAAACUUUAGUAUAGGGAAUGAUGCUAAACUGACGGUACCUUACCAGAAAGCCACGGCUAACUACGUGCCAGCAGCCGCGGUAAUACGUAGGUGGCGAGCGUUAUCCGGAAUCAUUGGGCGUAAAGGGUGCGUAGGCGGCUGAUUAAGUUUGUGUUUAAAGCGCGAAGCUCAACUUCGUAAAGGCACAAAAACUGGUCGGCUAGAGUGCAGUAGAGGCAGAUGGAACUCCAUGUGUAGCGGUAAAAUGCGUAGAUAUAUGGAAGAACACCAGUGGCGAAGGCGGUCUGCUGGGCUGUAACUGACGCUGAGGCACGAAAGCGAGGGGAGCAAAUAGGAUUAGAUACCCUAGUGGUCCACGCCGUAAACGAUGAAUACUAAGUGUUGGAGAAAUCCAGUGCUGCAGUUAACGCAAUAAGUAUUCCGCCUGGGGAGUAUGCACGCAAGUGUGAAACUCAAAGGAAUUGACGGGGACCCGCACAAGCGGUGGAUUAUGUGGUUUAAUUCGACGCAACGCGAAGAACCUUACCAAGCCUUGACAUCCCUGGCAAAGUCAUAGAGAUAUGAUGGAGGUUAUCCAGGUGACAGGUGGUGCAUGGUUGUCGUCAGCUCGUGUCGUGAGAUGUUGGGUUAAGUCCCGCAACGAGCGCAACCCUUGUCUUCAGUUACCAUCAUUAAGUUGGGGACUCUGGAGAGACUGCCGGUGACAAACCGGAGGAAGGUGGGGAUGACGUCAAAUCAGCAUGCCCCUUAUGGCUUGGGCUACACACGUAAUACAAUGGCGUAUACAAAGGGAUGCGAAAGGGCGACCUGGAGCGAACCCCAUAAAGUACGUCUCAGUUCGGAUUGGAGUCUGCAACUCGACUCCAUGAAGUUGGAAUCGCUAGUAAUCGUGGAUCAGCACGCCACGGUGAAUACGUUCUCGGGUCUUGUACUCACCGCCCGUCA
rnacentral:rRNA from 1 species